rnacentral:rRNA from 1 species
CAAUACUGAGUGGCAAACGGGUGAGUAUAAUGUGGGAAUCUGCCUUUUGGUUUGGAAUAACACGGGGAAACUUGUGCUAAUACCGAAUAAGCCUUCACAGGGAAAGUUUUAAUGCCGAAAGAUGAGCCUGCACUUGAUUAGCUAGUUGGUAAGGUAAAAGCUUACCAAGGCAACGAUCAAUAGCUGUUCUUAGAGGAAGACCAGCCACAUUGGGACUGAGACACGGCCCAGACUCCUACGGGAGGCAGCAGUGGGGAAUCUUGCACAAUGGGGGAAACCCUGAUGCAGCGAUGCCGCGUGAGUGAAGAAGGCCCUUGGGUUGUAAAACUCUUUCGUCGGGGAAGAAAAUGACUGUACCCGAAUAAGAAGGUCCGGCUAACUUCGUGCCAGCAGCCGCGGUAAUACGAAGGGACCUAGCGUAGUUCGGAAUUACUGGGCUUAAAGAGCUCGUAGGUGGUUAAAAUAGUUGAUGGUGAAAUCCCAAGGCUCAACCUUGGAACUGCCAUCAAAACUUUUUAGCUAGAGUGUGAUAGAGGUAAGUGGAAUUUCUAGUGUAGAGGUGAAAUUCGUAGAUAUUAGAAAGAACACCAAAUGCGAAGGCAACUUACUGGGUCACUACUGACACUGAGGAGCGAAAGCAUGGGUAGCGA